AAGUUUUAUUCCAUAGAAGCUGUGUACCAAAAAACUUCCUUCAUUUCCUUCCUUAUUUCGUUCGUUGGAUAUUUUCACCAUCAAUUGCUGAAAGCAGGGGACGUUUCAAGGAAAGAAGGCAGUGUUAGGCCCAAAAUAUCUGAUGGUGCGGAAGAAGACGACUGCAUUGUUAGGUAUGCAGAACAGUUAAGUUACAGCUAAGAUGAUUCUGUACGAUAUGCGAUUACCACAGGCAUUUGAAACCAUGGCAUGGGCAAGUAAUUCUCCGGACUUGAAUCCCAUUGAAAAUGUAUGGUCUGAGUUAACAAAAAAAAGCUAAUUCUCUCCAGCACUCCAUCAUGCGAUCAAUUGUGGAGCAAAAUCCUGGCAGCUUGGGAGGAGUUAAAGCACGAUCAUCAAUUUGCCAUCAACCUUAUCAACAGCAUGCCGAAUCGAAUGACAGAAGUCGUCCACCGCCAAGGCCUCAUGACAAAAUAUUAACAGGGUAUCCGCGCACCUGUGAUGUCUUGAAAAAUCAUGGAAAGUCAUGAAUUUCGGAAUUGAACACAAUUGUAAUGAAAUGUGAAUGAUAUUUAAUUAUUAGUGAUUAUUGAUGAGCAAAUGAAAAUUUAACUAUUUUUUCAAAAAAAUCAGUCAGUCAUUGGAAAACAUUUUUAAUUGCGAAAUGAGAAUAGA